rnacentral:rRNA from 1 species
GACGAACCGUGCGACCGUUGUUCGGAAUCACUGGGCUUAAAGGGCGCGUAGGCGGGCAUUCAAGUCAGGGGUGAAAUCCCCCAGCUCAACUGGGGAACUGCCUUUGAUACUGGGUGCCUCGAGUAAGGUAGGGGCAUGCGGAACUGAUGGUGGAGCGGUGAAAUGCGUAGAUAUCGGAAGGAACAUCAGUGGCGAAAGCGGCUUCCUGGACCAGUACCGACGUUCAGGCACGAAAGCGUGGGGAGCAAACAGG